rnacentral:lncRNA from 1 species
CACCACCAAGCCAACUACGGGCGGCGGAGAACUCCACACAUUGUGAGCCGAAGUAAACUCCUCCCUGGAGUUUUGAGUGUUGGGUAUUGUGUUUCAGCGAUGAAAAAGUAACUAAGUCCCCAUCAGUUGAUAAUGAAAAAGAAUGGAUAAUGGUGCUGGUUCCUGUGACCAGGCUCCGCCCUCAGGAUUUGUCCUGAACUCCGGAAGCCAUUGCACGGCAG